GCAGUCUGCAACUACGACUGCAUGAAGUCGGAAUCGCUAGUAAUCGCGGAUCAGCAUGCCGCGGUGAAUACGUUCCCGGGUCUUGUACACACCGCCCGUCAAACAAUGGGAGUGGUGUUUACCAGAAGUCGUUAGCCUAACCGCAAGGAGGGCGGCGACCACGGUGAGCACCGUGACUAAUGUUAAGUCGUAACAAGGUACC
rnacentral:rRNA from 1 species